rnacentral:rRNA from 1 species
UACGUAGGGCGCAAGCGUUGUCCGGAAUUAUUGGGCGUAAAGAGCUCGUAGGCGGUUCGUCGCGUCGGCUGUGAAAACCCGGAGCUCAACUCCGGGCCUGCAGUCGAUACGGGCGGACUAGAGUUCGGCAGGGGAGACUGGAAUUCCUGGUGUAGCGGUGAAAUGCGCAGAUAUCAGGAGGAACACCGGUGGCGAAGGCGGUCUCUGGGCCUGUACUGACGCUGAGGAGCGAAAGCGUGGGGAGCAAACAGG